rnacentral:misc_RNA from 1 species
GAAAUGCGAUAAUUAAUGUGAAUUGCAGAAUUCAGUGAAUCAUCGAGUCUUUGAACGCACAUUGCGCCCCCUGGUAUUCCGGGGGGCAUGCCUGUCCGAGCGUCAUUGCUGCCCUCAAGCACGGCUUGUGUGUUGGGCUUCCGUCCCUGGCAACGGGGACGGGCCCAAAAGGCAGUGGCGGCACCAUGUCUGGUCCUCGAGCGUAUGGAGCUUUGUCACCCGCUCCCGUAGGUCCAGCUGGCAGCUAGCCUCGCAACCAAUCUUUUUAACCAGGUUGACCUCGGAUCAGGUAGUGAUACCCGCUCAACUUAAGC